CUGAAAGCCCACCAGCCUUACGGCGGGUCCAGGCUUUGUGCCCUGCCGGUCCAGGGACCAAGAACAACAAGAUCCACUCUCUGUGCUACAACGAUUGCAUCUUCUCACGCAACACUCCGACCAGGACUUUCAACUACAACUUCUCCGCUUUGGCAAACACUGUCACUCUUGCUGGGAGGGCCAAGCUUCACUUCCAAAGGGCUGAAAUACUUCCAUCACUUUACUCUCAGUCUCUGUGGAAACCAGGGUCGGAAAAUGUCUGUGUGCACCGACAAUGUCACUGACCUCCGGAUUCCUGAGGGUGAGUCAGGGUUCUCCAAAUCUAUCACAGCCUACGUCUGCCAGGCAGUCAUCAUCCCCCCAGAGGUGACAGGCUACAAGGCCGGGGUUUCCUCACAGCCUGUCAGCCUUGCUGACCGACUUAUUGGUCCAAUGAUGUGACCCAGUCCUUCAGUUCUGGGAGAUCAACCACCAUCCGUGUCAGGUGCAGUCCACAGAAAACUGUCCCUGGAAGUUUGUCGCUGCCAGGGUAAGCCCUGCAAAGGGGUGUGACGAAGGCCAAAAUCUCCGUUCCUUGAAGUCAUUCCAUCCUGAGAUCCAGAGAUUAGUGAAAAGGAGAAAAAAGAAAAGAGUUUGAGAUCCAUUAAUGGGCUCUUAGGGGCAGAGUCAUGGCCCCAGAUCCUCAAUCUUCAUACGGCAAGAAUAGGGUAGAAGGAAGAGUGAAAGCUGCUCUCAUAUUCCUGGUCCAUUAUGGUGGCAGCUGCGUAGCAUUGUAACCAACAGCUCAGCUGAGAGCCAGAUUGAAUCAUCUCCUCCACUAACUAGCUAUGUUAUCAUGGCUACAUUUCUUACCGUCUUUCGGCCUCUUGUUUCCUUAUCUGUAAAAAUGGGUGUAAUGCUAAAUUCCCUCAGUGGGUUGUUUUGAGGAUGAAAUGAGACAAGGAGACUUUAGGACGUUUCAUGAUCUCUGGCUAUUAUGAGGAUUAAUAAAGGUUUAGGGAUCCUAGGAAUCUCUCUGCAAUGAAAAUACCCAGUUCUGAGUUUAAUAGCUGAGUGAACUAAAUCAAAAAUUUCCAAAUGAAUAUGACCACAAGACACCCCCUCCCCUCCCCGCAUAACAGCAAC
rnacentral:lncRNA from 1 species